UACGAAGGGGGCUAGCGUUGUUCGGAAUUACUGGGCGUAAAGCGCGCGCAGGCGGUUCUCCAAGUCAGUGGUGAAAGCCCGGAGCUCAACUCCGGAAUUGCCAUUGAAACUGUUGAACUUGAGGACGAGAGAGGUGAGUGGAAUUCCCAGUGUAGAGGUGAAAUUCGUAGAUAUUGGGAAGAACACCGGUGGCGAAGGCGGCUCACUGGCUCGUUUCUGACGCUCAGGCGCGAAAGCGUGGGGAUCAAACAGG
rnacentral:rRNA from 1 species